GGCCAGACUCCUACGGGAGGCAGCAGUGGGGAAUAUUGCACAAUGGGGGAAACCCUGAUGCAGCGACGCCGCGUGAGUGAAGAAGUAUUUCGGUAUGUAAAGCUCUAUCAGCAGGGAAGAAAAUGACGGUACCUGACUAAGAAGCCCCGGCUAACUACGUGCCAGCAGCCGCGGUAAUACGUAGGGGGCAAGCGUUAUCCGGAUUUACUGGGUGUAAAGGGAGCGUAGACGGCAUGGCAAGUCAGAUGUGAAAGCCCGGGGCUCAACCCCGGGACUGCAUUUGAAACUGUCAGGCUGGAGUGCAGGAGAGGUAAGUGGAAUUCCUAGUGUAGCGGUGAAAUGCGUAGAUAUUAGGAGGAACACCAGUGGCGAAGGCGGCUUACUGGACUGUAACUGACGUUGAGGCUCGAAAGCGUGGGGAGCAAACAGGAUUAGAUACCCCCGUACC
rnacentral:rRNA from 1 species